ensembl:lncRNA
GUGCCUGGAAGGCUGGGAGGCUUCAGACGCUGCCCCGACCCUUCAGAGAGCAGGCGCUGAGCACGAGCGUGGAAGGAGGCCCAGCGCCUUCGGUGGUGGUGCAGAGGCUGGGGCCGUUCCGGGCUGGAGCAGCUCUGGUUCUUCCUUCCAGGGACCUACCCUCAGAGGCUGCACACCUCGGCUUGCCUCCCCGCUGGGAUACUUGUAAGGACAGCAUACAAGAGGCCGUGAGCGUGAAACCACUCUCAGACUCCAGUCUCUCCCCAGGCAGCAUGCCCACGUGACCCCUUUUGGCCGGGGGACCUUAGUGAGAGUCAGCUUGUGAUGGCUUCUGGGAGAGCGUCUGCCGUCACGGCAAAGGAGCCAACAUGGAUGGUGCCGCCUUCCCACCUCCUUCCUGCCUUGAACGCACAUUCCACCCAGCUCUGGCACCAUCUUGCAACCAUGAAAGAAAGGCAAGAAAUACACAGAGAUGUCAGCCCUGACAUUGCUGAGAUGGGAAAUUAUCAUUAGUGUCCGCCUCUGUCCUGUUACAUGUGACAAGUCAACUCCUGUUUAAACCGCAUUUGUUUUAAACCGCUGUGAAUAAGGUUUUUCUUACAGCCAGAUAAACCCCUAACCAAUAUGGGAGGUUCUGGAA